CACGUAGGAGGCGAGCGUUGUCCGGAAUCAUUGGGCGUAAAGAGCGCGCAGGCGGCUUGGCAAGUCGGGUGUGAAAUCCCGGGGCUCAACCCCGUGACUGCAUCCGAUACUGCCCGACUAGAGGUAGGUAGGGGAGAUCGGAAUUCCUGGUGUAGCGGUGAAAUGCGCAGAUAUCAGGAGGAACACCGGUGGCGAAGGCGGAUCUCUGGGCCUUACCUGACGCUCAGGUGCGAAAGCUAGGGGAGCAAACAGG
rnacentral:rRNA from 1 species